rnacentral:rRNA from 1 species
UACGUAGGGUGCGAGCGUUGUCCGGAAUUAUUGGGCGUAAAGAGCUCGUAGGCGGUUUGUUGCGUCUAUCGUGAAAACCUGCAGCUUAACUGUGGGCUUGCGGUGGAUACGGGCAGACUUGAGUUCGGUAGGGGAGACUGGAAUUCCCGGUGUAGCGGUGAAAUGCGCAGAUAUCGGGAAGAACACCCGUGGCGAAGGCGGUUCUCUGGGACGGUACUGACGCUGAGACGCGAAAGCGUGGGGAGCGAACAGG